CUUUUCAAGCUCUCCAGCAAUCCCCUUGGGGCCUGGCAAGACUGGCAGGUACUUGGGAGGGGUCCCUCCUCACAGCAUCUACAUCCUUGCGAGAAUCAGCUUUUAAUGUUUAAUAGGUUAUUGUAUUUUAGUGUUCUGUUUGAAGCCGCCCAUAGUGGCUGGGGAAACCCAGCCAGAUGGGCGGGGUGUAAAUAAUAAAUUAUUAUUAUUAUUAUUAUUAUUAUUAUCGUGCCAACUUCUGGAGGCAGGAAUAUGACUCAACUUUUUUUUUGCAGAGAAUACAGCUGGGGAACUGAAAAUUGCCUAGCCUAGGCCAAAGAGGGUGUGCACUCCUAAGCUUCUGAGAAUGUUUUGUUUUAUUUUUUUACUUUUUAAAAAAACCAUUAAGUGGUAUAUAAAUCUUACAAACUGGUUUACAAAGAGAAUAAGACACAAAAAUUAUCAGCAAAAGCAACUCUUUAAAAGCAACAUUCAAAAGAUGUGCUUUUGAGGUGUCUUUGUAAACAGUACUGUGUUUUUUUGGUUCAUAUACCACCUUACAGAUAUUUUAUAUGGAAGUGUGGUUUAUAAGUAUUCAGACAACCAGAUAACCGUGUGUGUGUGGGUUGCUUCAAUGCAGGUUGUGCCAGGAUGCCUCCAGGUGCGUCAGGUCAGAGACAGUCAGUGAGCAGGACUUGGAGAAAGAUGGCCUGGUGCUUAGAUACAAGGAGUGAUGGUGGCCCUGGUCAACUCGCCUGCCCUGCAGCAGGUAAGGAGAAAGGAGUCUGGUGGAAGAAUGUGGGAUUCCUCAUGGAGCAGCUGCAGAUCCAUGAACCUGUAGCCUCAGAGGAGCAACUGCGUCAGGUUCCCGCCCUGCACCAUUGAGGCAGUGGCACCACCUGACGCCAUGCUGAUUGGACUUGAGCACCAGGAAACGGAGGGUGCUUCCAAACAGAUGCUUAUUAUGGGUGGGUGUUCCUCUCACACGCACAUUUUUCACAUGACAUAAGCAACAAAAAAGCCAACUCGUAUUACACCCUCCCCCCAAAUUAAUAAUCCAGAUUUACCCUUUCCAGGGAAAAUCCAAACAGUUAAAAAAGCCUGUUGACUAGUCACCCAAUCACAGAAUUAUAGAGUUGGAAGGGACUCCCAAAGAUCCUCUAGUCCAACCCCUUACAAUGAACCACAGCUAAUAUUUCUCCCUCCCCUCCUCAGCUCUUCUAUCACUGUGCUUGGCCAACCUCGAUGCUGCCCCUGUCCUGCUCAGAGAAUAGCCCUGCCUUGGCACAACAGCAGGUAAGGACUAGUUUCUUCUUAUUUGCAUUGACGUCCCCCCUUUUUUUGCCAAAGAGCACAAGGUGAUGUACAUUGUUUUCCCAUUUUAUCCCCACAACAAGGUAGGUUAGGCUAAGAGAGGCAUUGACUGGCCCCAUGAUAUGGUAGGUGUUCUUAUAGAAUGGCUGUAGCCGGGGGUGGAGGGGAGGCUUUUCAGCCCAAGAGCCACAUUCCUCUUAGGGUAACUUACCGGAGGCCAAACGUAGGGGGAGGAAAGAAUGCAAACGUUACUUUUCUACUAGUUUAGACACAGACACACCCACACCUUUCUCCAGCUUUGGAUCCCGAGAUCUGCAGAUGAAGAGCGCUGUGCAAAUGUAAUAAAAAAAUAAAAAUAAAAUCCAGGCACACGAGAGUCCACGGUCACCUCCCAGCCAGGCAAAAGCACUCAAGGGGGUGAAGCAAGGCUGGGAUUGGACUUGGGAUCUUGCACCUGGGUCUGGCUGGCAGCUUGUGGGGUCCUAGCAAAAAAAACCCAACACCCCAAAGUUGAUCCAACAAGCCUGAAUCCUGCCCCGCCCUGCUGGACUGGCGCAACUCAUUUUCUGCAGUGUGUUGGGUGGGAGGAAGGCUUGCGCCACUCAGCCAGAUGGUGGGGGGGUGCUGCUCCUUCUCGAAAGGGCUCUCCUCUGUCCAUGUUCUACCUGACGGCACUCUUCUUCUUCGUCUUGGAAUGUGGCCCUCUCAGCGGCCAUUAGCAGAGGAGGAAUGCUUUUAAGGACAUCAAUAAUGAAUGUGCUACCUCUGUGCACUCUGGGCUGCUGCUUUAGUGUAGCUCUGGCAUCUUUUUGCCACAUUGGCUGGUGGAAAACGAGGAAAGUUGGCUGCGCUGGGUAGCUUAGGGCAGUUGCCUCCCACGCUGGGGGCUCGCAGGAAGGGCCACUCCCUAUGUCUGAAUCACGAAGAACAGGGAGGGAGGGAGGUGGCAAGGGAGCCCGCCGUCAGUGCCACGUUUCCUUGGGGUAACAGCAGCACCCACAUGGCACGCAGCCCAGGUGAAUCUGGUGGAUCACACAGAUCCAGCCCCUCCAGGGGUUCAGAGCCCACCAACUUCACAAGGCGGUUGCCAUCUUGCAAAGUGGCCCGUAAGUCAAGCAACGAGGGGCGGCAUUUCUCGAGUUUUAAAAGAACAAAGCUUGAGGCUGUUGUGAGUGCUAAGCUACGGGCCCGCUGUACAAGCUCGUGGGGACGAGUUAUCUGUGGAAGGGGUGCCCGUAAGAUAGCAUAGGAUAUGAGAAAAGGGGGAGCAGAUUUCAUCACGCAGGGUGUCGUUUAAACUCUGGAAUUUGGUCAUUUGAACAUGCUUGCAUACUUACCUUCCCCAUUUUCUCAUGUUUUUCCUAGGAAGUGAAAAGAAAAGGGCGGCGAUGGAGGGGAGAUCUUCCUUUUUAAUAAGCCUUCCACUGAUCCCUUCCUGCCUCCCCUUGUGCUGGAUCCAAAACGUACUAUGUGCUGCAGUUGCGAAGACCCACAUUCUCCAUCCUUUGCAUCUGUGGAAAACAGUGCCAGGG